CACAAGCGGUGGAGCAUGUGGUUAAUUCGAAGCAACGCGUAAGAACCUUACCAGGUCUUGACAUCCCGAUGCUAUUUCUAGAGAUAGAAAGUUACUUCGGUACAUCGGUGACAGGUGGUGCAUGGUUGUCGUCAGCUCGUGUCGUGAGAUGUUGGGUUAAGUCCCGCAACGAGCGCAACCCUAUUGUUAGUUGCCAUCAUUCAGUUGGGCACUCUAGCGAGACUGCCGGUAAUAAACCGGAGGAAGGUGGGGAUGACGUCAAAUCAUCAUGCCCCUUAUGACCUGGGCUACACACGUGCUACAAUGGUUGGUACAACGAGUUGCGAGUCGGUGACGGCGAGCUAAUCUCUUAAAGCCAAUCUCAGUUCGGAUUGUAGGCUGCAACUCGCCUACAUGAAGUCGGAAUCGCUAGUAAUCGCGGAUCAGCACGCCGCGGUGAAUACGUUCCCGGGCCUU
rnacentral:rRNA from 1 species